rfam:Pseudozyma antarctica T-34 DNA, contig: scaffold00002.
GGCACUAUGGCGGAGUGGUUAUCGCGUGGCACUAGAAUCACCUGCAUUCUAGAGCAAAAUCCUGCUCAACAAAUACAUGCCAUUCCCUCUGGGAGCACAGGUUCAAAUCCUGUUGGUGUCG